UACGUAGGGUGCAAGCGUUGUCCGGAAUUAUUGGGCGUAAAGGGCUCGUAGGCGGUCCAUCGCGUCGGGAGUGAAAACUUACAGCUUAACUGUGAGCGUGCUUCCGAUACGGGCAGACUUGAGGUAUUCAGGGGAGAACGGAAUUCCUGGUGUAGCGGUGAAAUGCGCAGAUAUCAGGAAGAACACCCGUGGCUAAGGCGGCUCUCUAGUACGGUACUGACGCUGAGACGCGAAAGCGUGGGGAGCGAACAGG
rnacentral:rRNA from 1 species